UCUGCUCAUUAUUCACAUUAUUCACAUUAUAUACACAUUAUAUACUGUACAUUAUAUACAUUAUAUAUCUGCUCAUUAUUCACAUUAAUCACAUUAUAUGCAUUAUAUACUGUACAUAUAUAAUAUAUAUAUAUUUAUAUAAAUAUAUUCCUGCAUUCAAACCUUACUUUAGUAAAAGUACACAGCUGUUAUUAAAAGUCACUCAGUUACAUUUCAUUUAGUCAUCUUUAUAUGUCGUUCCAGUUGGCUUAAUUUACUGUGUAAUAAUAAUAAUAAUAAUAACAAUAAUAAUAUUAAUAAUACCUUAUUUUAUAUGAAACCAUAUAAGUAAGUGAAGUAAUUAAAGCUGUCAGAUAAAUGCAGUGGAGUCGAAGUAGAAAGAUAAAAGAAUAUAAAGAUACCACAGUUACUAAGUUUUAUUAAAACAGACAGAACAAAUGACAUUUACACAUUAUUCAUUCUCACACUCACCACUGAAAGUGUGUGUUUCCUCCUUACAGUGAUUGACAGCUGAGGGGGCGGAGCCAGCACAGUCCUGCAGCUUGAGUCAACUACAGGCCGCCAUGUUGGUUCUGGUGUGGUUAUUGAUCCUGAUGAUGAUGAUGGCGAUGAAGAGUGACGCUGCCUCUGCUGGGAUCAUCACUGCAUACAGCGGAGAGACCGUUCUGCUGACAUCAAACCUGAAGGAGGUGGAGCUGAAGAACAUAAGUGACGUCAGGUGGACUCACCCCCAGCUGGUGGUCUCACUGAAGAGGAACAAUACAAUAUGUCCAAACCGACGCUGCGAGCUGCUGAAGGACGGCUCACUGAGAUUCAGCCGAGUUCAGACUGACGACUCUGGACACUACAUCAUGAGCCUGUUCGAUGAAGAGGGAAACAACAUGAAGAUGACUUACUUCCGGCUCGUAGUGGAGGUAGUGUGCUGGACCUGGGUGGUGGACAGACAAGUGAGAGUGAGCGGGAGAGAUUAA
rnacentral:lncRNA from 15 species